rnacentral:piRNA from 1 species
UCCAGAUGUAGGACUGUUUGUGUGG